rnacentral:lncRNA from 1 species
CUCAUACCGGACGGGGUAAUGAGGUUUAUUGUUUUGGCGCCCAUACCGGACGGGGUAUGGGGACGGCCCGUUUCACCCUCAUACCGGACGGGGUAAUGAGGUCUAUGGUUUGGCGCCCAUACCGGACGGGGUAUGGGGACGGCCCUGGAAUAUGAUUUCAAGUGUUAAGGAUUAACGGGUAGCGGGACCCCGAUGGAUCCCCAUGGAUACUAGUGGGCUGGUGAAUUAGGAAAAUAUGUUGUGUAACGAUUGAAUUACGAAAAGUGUGAUAGGUAUUAUGUUAUACAGUUCAUAUAUAUGUUUUCAUGAUGAUGAUGAUGUUAUUGCUUUCGUAUAUCGUUUUAUGAAUUUCACCGAGGUAAGUAAAUGGUAAAGGUUUUAUUUUCGAUAAAAGGAUUUGUUGUAAAUUAUGCUCCAUUGGUCUUUUUGUGUUUUCUACCCACCUUUACCUCCGUGACGGUGAGAUAUCGUGAUGUCUUUACUGGGCUAGUGUAGCUCAUUCCUUAUUUAAUCAUUUCAGAUCAAGAGGACAUCGUUCCCGAGCCGAUUCCGCAGGAGGACGACGAAGGGGACGCUUAAAGACUCCAUAGUCACAUUCGUAGUUUUUACUUUCAAGUUUCUCCUUUAGGUAGUAUAAUCUUUUAUAUUUUGUGAGCACGUUUCGGUUUCAGUGUAAGGGAUGUUAUUCAAAUUUUGACAUCGCUUCCGCAUUUGAUAUUUUUGAAUAUAAAAUUCCAUUUUAAAUUUCCGGGGGUGUUACAUAAGAUCAGUUAAGAUUCAAAGAUUGAUGUUUUAUGAAUUGUCAACUCUUUCUUACAAAAAAAAAAAGAAUGUUGUUUAAGUGUUACAUGGACUAAUGGAACUUAUGUGGGGGU